rnacentral:lncRNA from 1 species
AAAAAAUUAUUUCUUACAUGACCUACUGUAGCAAAAUCGCGUCUACGAGGGCGCGAUUUCAUAAUUUCUUCUCAAAUAACAUCCUCGUAGAAGUAAUUUUAUACUAUUUGCUCAGAAACGUCAAAAAAAAUUUAUUUCUUACAUGACCUACUGUAGCAAAAUCGCGUCCACGAGGGCGCGAUUUCACAAUUUCUUCUCAAAUAGCAUCCUGGUAGAAGCGAUUUUAUACAAUUUGACCAGAAACGUCAACUCGAAAUAAUUUAUUCCGGGACCUAAAAACCCUAAAAAGCCUGAACCCUAAACCCUAAAAGCCAAAAAAACCAAACGUGAAAAAUACGUCAAAAUCGCGUCCCCA